rnacentral:rRNA from 1 species
AGAAUCAACGCUGGCGGCGCGCUUAACACAUGCAAGUCGCACGAGAAAGGGAGCAAUCCUAAGUAAAGUGGCGCACGGGUGAGUAACACGUGGAUCAUCUACCUUUUAGUGGGGAAUACCUCUGGGAAACCGGAGACAAUACCGCAUAAGCCUGUAAAGGGAAAGCAGCAAUGCGCUGAAAGAGGAGUCCGCGGCCGAUUAGCUAGUUGGCGGGGUAAUGGCCCACCAAGGCGAAGAUCGGUAGCCGGCCUGAGAGGGCACACGGCCACACUGGCACUGGAACACGGGCCAGACUCCUACGGGAGGCAGCAGUGGGGAAUCUUGCACAAUGGCGAAAGCCUGAUGCAGCGACGCCGCGUGAGCGAUGAAGCCCUUCGGGGUGUAAAGCUCUUUCGACGGACGAUAAUGACGGUACCGGAGAAGAAGCUGCGGCUAACUACGUGCCAGCAGCCGC